rnacentral:lncRNA from 1 species
AAAAAAAGAAAAGAAAAAGGUAUAAGGGCACCUCCGCUCCGUCUUCGCCGCUCUCUUGGAAGAAAAAGAAAUAAGAACGAGAGAAAAAAAGAGGAGAGAAAGAGGAACAGAGAAAAAAGUAUAUAGGAUAUUUUGGUCAGUUUGCUGAAAAAGCGGACCGAAUCUGCAAAAGCCAAAAAGAUGGCCCGAUUUUGUAAAAGCCCAAAAUAAGUGGAUUUUUUAUGCAAAUUGGCCAUUUUUUUAUCCAGUUAAUAUAUCUAAAAUAUGAUAAAAAUUGAUUAGUUAAGUUUUAAUAUUUUUUAUUUAGUUUGUUCAUUUAAAAUAUGAUAAAAGUUGAUUAAUUAAAUAUUAAUAUUUUUUUUACUUUAUAAUUUUUAUUAUUUAUUACUAUAAUUUAUGUAUAAGAAAAUUAUUUAGUUGUUUUAAAUUAAUUUUAAUUAUAUAAAAAUAUACUUAUAUUAUUUUUAUUUAUUAAAAUAUUUAUUAUUUAUAUAUAAAUUAUAUUUUUACAUAAUACACUUCCUACCAAAUAAAUAACAGAACUAAUGAAACUUUACUUCCAUAGCUACGAAACAAACAGCGGAAAAGAAGUAGUUUUCACCGAAUUUCACUUCAACUCAAAGUCCACUUCAACCUAAAGUCCAGUUUAAGUGAGGUGUCCGAGGUUUCGUUUU